rnacentral:misc_RNA from 1 species
UGGUUCUGGCAUCGAUGAAGAACGCAGCGAAAUGCGAUAAGUAAUGUGAAUUGCAGAAUUCAGUGAAUCAUCGAAUCUUUGAACGCACAUUGCGCCCGCCAGCAUUCUGGCGGGCAUGCCUGUUCGAGCGUCAUUUCAACCCCUCGGGCCCUGGUGCCCGGCGUCGGGGCUCUCCCCAGCGGGAGGCCCCCAGAGACAGUGGCGGACCCGCCGCGGCUCCGAGCGUAGUAGUAAAAUUCUCGCUUAGGAGGCCCGCGGGGGGCUCCCGGCCGUAAAACCCGCCCGGCGCCUUCGGGCGCUGGCCGCAUCACAAGGUUGACCUCGGAUCAGGUAGGAAUACCCGCUGA